rnacentral:rRNA from 1 species
CCUACUGGGGGCAGCAGUGAGGAAUAUUGGUCAAUGGGCGCGAGCCUGAACCAGCCAAGUAGCGUGAAGGAUGACUGCCCUACGGGUUGUAAACUUCUUUAGGCGGGGAGCAAUGCCGGGCACGCGUGCCCGGAGGGAGAGUACCCGCAGAAUAAGCAUCGGCUAACUCCGUGCCAGCAGCCGCGGUAAUACGGAGGAUGCGAGCGUUAGCCGGAUUUAUUGGGUUUAAAGGGUGCGUAGGCGGAUUUUUAAGUCAGCGGUAAAAUGUCCGGGCUCAACCCGGGCCGGCCGUUGAAACUGGGGAUCUUGAGUGGGCGAGAAGUAGGCGGAAUGCGUGGUGUAGCGGUGAAAUGCAUAGAUAUCACGCAGAACUCCGAUUGCGAAGGCAGCAUACCGGCGCCCGACUGACGCUGAGGCACGAAAGCGUGGGGAUCGAACAGGAUUAGAUACCCGAGUAGUC